rnacentral:rRNA from 1 species
AGAUUGAACGCUGGCGGAAUGCUUUACACAUGCAAGUCGAGCGGCAGCGCGGGGCAACCUGGCGGCGAGCGGCGAACGGGUGAGUAAUGCAUCGGAACAUGUCCAUUCGUGGGGGAUAGCCCGGCGAAAGCCGGAUUAAUACCGCAUACGCCCGAGAGGGGAAAACGGGGGACCGCAAGGCCUCGUGCGAAUGGGUUGGCCGAUGUCCGAUUAGCUAGUUGGCGGGGUAAAAGCCCACCAAGGCGAUGAUCGGUAGCUGGUCUGAGAGGAUGAUCAGCCACACUGGGACUGAGACACGGCCCAGACUCCUACGGGAGGCAGCAGUGGGGAAUUUUGGACAAUGGGGGCAACCCUGAUCCAGCCAUUCCGCGUGAGUGAAGAAGGCCUUCGGGUUGUAAAGCUCUUUUGUCCGGAGCGAAACGGUGCACGUGAAUAUCGUGCGCUACUGACGGUACCGGAAGAAUAAGCACCGGCUAACUACGUGCCAGCAGCCGCGGUAAUACGUAGGGUGCGAGCGUUAAUCGGAAUUACUGGGCGUAAAGCGUGCGCAGGCGGUUUUGUAAGCCAGAUGUGAAAUCCCCGGGCUUAACCUGGGAAUGGCAUUUGGGACUGCAAGGCUGGAGUGUGGCAGAGGAGACUGGAAUUCCUGGUGUAGCAGUGAAAUGCGUAGAUAUCAGGAGGAAUACCGAUGGCGAAGGCAGGUCUCUGGGCUGACACUGACGCUCAUGCACGAAAGCGUGGGGAGCAAACAGGAUUAGAUACCCUGGUAGUCCACGCCCUAAACGAUGUCGACUGGUUGUUGGGGGGUUUGACACUCUCAGUAACGAAGCUAACGCGUGAAGUCGACCGCCUGGGGAGUACGGCCGCAAGGUUAAA